rnacentral:rRNA from 1 species
UACGUAGGGUGCAAGCGUUAUCCGGAUUUAUUGGGCGUAAAGGGCUCGUAGGCGGUUCGUCGCGUCCGGUGUGAAAGUCCAUCGCUUAACGGUGGAUCCGCGCCGGGUACGGGCGGGCUUGAGUGCGGUAGGGGAGACUGGAAUUCCCGGUGUAACGGUGGAAUGUGUAGAUAUCGGGAAGAACACCAAUGGCGAAGGCAGGUCUCUGGGCCGUUACUGACGGCUGAAGCACGAAAGCGUGGUGUCGACGAAGAG